rnacentral:rRNA from 1 species
AGCGUGGAGACAGGUGGUGCAUGGCUGUCGUCAGCUCGUGUCGUGAGAUGUUGGGUUAAGUCCCGCAACGAGCGCAACCCUCACCCUUUGUUGCCAUCAGGUUAUGCUGGGCACUCUAAGGGAACUGCCUCGGUUAACGAGGAGGAAGGUGGGGAUGACGUCAAGUCAUCAUGCCCCUUACGCUCUGGGCUACACACGUGCUACAAUGGCCAAUACAAAGGGCUGCAAACCCGCGAGGGCAGGCCAAUCCCAAAAAAUUGGUCUCAGUUCAGAUUGUAGGCUGCAACCCGCCUGCAUGAAGGAGGAAUCGCUAGUAAUCGUGGAUCAGCAUGCCACGGUGAAUACGUUCCCGGGCCUUGUACACACCGCCCGUCACACCACGAAAGUCUGCUGUACUCGAAGUCGCUGAG